AAUGGGUCAGCGACUUAUAUUCUGUAGCAAGGUUAACCGUAUAGGGGAGCCGUAGGGAAACCGAGUCUUAACCGGGCGUUAAGUUGCAGGGUAUAGACCCGAAACCCGGUGAUCUAGCCAUGGGCAGGUUGAAGGUUGGGUAACACUAACUGGAGGACCGAACCGACUAAUGUUGAAAAAUUAGCGGAUGACCUGUGGCUGGGGGUGAAAGGCCAAUCAAACCGGGAGAUAGCUGGUUCUCCCCGAAAGCUAUUUAGGUAGCGCCUCGUGAAUUCAUCUCCGGGGGUAGAGCACUGUUUCGGCUAGGGGGCCAUCCCGGCUUACCAACCCGAUGCAAACUGCGAAUACCGGAGAAUGUUAUCACGGGAGACACACGGCGGGUGCUAACGUCCGUCGUGAAGAGGGAAACAACCCAGACCGCCAGCUAAGGUCCCAAAGUCAUGGUUAAGUGGGAAACGAUGUGGGAAGGCCCAGACAGCCAGGAUGUUGGCUUAGAAGCAGCCAUCAUUUAAAGAAAGCGUAAUAGCUCACUGGUCGAGUCGGCCUGCGCGGAAGAUGUAACGGGGCUAAACCAUGCACCGAAGCUGCGGCAGCGACGCUGAUGCGUUGUUGGGUAGGGGAGCGUUCUGUAAGCCUGUGAAGGUGGCCUGUGAGGGUUGCUGGAGGUAUCAGAAGUGCGAAUGCUGACAUAAGUAACGAUAAAGCGGGUGAAAAGCCCGCUCGCCGGAAGACCAAGGGUUCCUGUCCAACGUUAAUCGGGGCAGGGUGAGUCGACCCCUAAGGCGAGGCCGAAAGGCGUAGUCGAUGGGAAACGGGUUAAUAUUCCCGUACUUGGUGUUACUGCGAAGGGGGGACGGAGAAGGCUAUGUUGGCCGGGCGACGGUUGUCCCGGUUUAAGCGUGUAGGUGUGUGUUCCAGGUAAAUCCGGUUCACUUUAACACUGAGGCGUGAUGACGAGGCACUACGGUGCUGAAGCAACAAAUGCCCUGCUUCCAGGAAAAGCCUCUAAGCAUCAGGUAACAUCAAAUCGUACCCCAAACCGACACAGGUGGUCAGGUAGAGAAUACCAAGGCGCUUGAGAGAACUCGGGUGAAGGAACUAGGCAAAAUGGUGCCGUAACUUCGGGAGAAGGCACGCUGACACGUAGGUGAAGUGAUUUACUCAUGGAGCUGAAGUCAGUCGAAGAUACCAGCUGGCUGCAACUGUUUAUUAAAAACACAGCACUGUGCAAACACGAAAGUGGACGUAUACGGUGUGACGCCUGCCCGGUGCCGGAAGGUUAAUUGAUGGGGUCAGCGCAAGCGAAGCUCCUGAUCGAAGCCCCGGUAAACGGCGGCCGUAACUAUAACGGUCCUAAGGUAGCGAAAUUCCUUGUCGGGUAAGUUCCGACCUGCACGAAUGGCGUAAUGAUGGCCAGGCUGUCUCCACCCGAGACUCAGUGAAAUUGAACUCGCUGUGAAGAUGCAGUGUACCCGCGGCAAGACGGAAAGACCCCGUGAACCUUUACUAUAGCUUGACACUGAACAUUGAGCCUUGAUGUGUAGGAUAGGUGGGAGGCUUUGAAGCGUGGACGCCAGUCUGCAUGGAGCCGGCCUUGAAAUACCACCCUUUAAUGUUUGAUGUUCUAACGUGGACCCGUGAUCCGGGUUGCGGACAGUGUCUGGUGGGUAGUUUGACUGGGGCGGUCUCCUCCUAAAGAGUAACGGAGGAGCACGAAGGUUGGCUAAUCCUGGUCGGACAUCAGGAGGUUAGUGCAAUGGCAUAAGCCAGCUUGACUGCGAGCGUGACGGCGCGAGCAGGUGCGAAAGCAGGUCAUAGUGAUCCGGUGGUUCUGAAUGGAAGGGCCAUCGCUCAACGGAUAAAAGGUACUCCGGGGAUAACAGGCUGAUACCGCCCAAGAGUUCAUAUCGACGGCGGUGUUUGGCACCUCGAUGUCGGCUCAUCACAUCCUGGGGCUGAAGUAGGUCCCAAGGGUAUGGCUGUUCGCCAUUUAAAGUGGUACGCGAGCUGGGUUUAGAACGUCGUGAGACAGUUCGGUCCCUAUCUGCCGUGGGCGCUGGAGAACUGAGGGGGGCUGCUCCUAGUACGAGAGGACCGGAGUGGACGCAUCACUGGUGUUCGGGUUGUCAUGCCAAUGGCACUGCCCGGUAGCUAAAUGCGGAAGAGAUAAGUGCUGAAAGCAUCUAAGCACGAAACUUGCCCCGAGAUGAGUUCUCCCUGAGACUUAGAGUCUCCUGAAGGAACGUUGAAGACGACGACGUUGAUAGGCCGGGUGUGUAAGCGCAGCGAUGCGUUGAGCUAACCGGUACUAAUGAACCGUGAGGCUUAACCUUACAACGCCGAAG
rnacentral:rRNA from 4 species